GAGGCGGGCGCGACCACUGUGGAGUCGCAGGGGGGAGCGCGGCUGCGGACGGACGCAGGGGCCGGCUGGGAGUGAGCGCCGCCGGGUGGGGCUGAAGGAGUGUAGCGACGGUUUUGUCGCACGCAGUCCGGAGGUGCGAAGGAGGGGACCUCGGCCCCGCGCUCCGAGUCCGGAUCCCGCAGCCGUCGGACUCCCCCUCCGAUCUGAGCGCAGUGGUUGCGCCUGGGCCGAGCCUGCGCACUCGGCGCCUGCUCAAACGUAUCCCGGGCUGUCUGGACCCCUCCGCCGGGGCCCACGCCGCUCCCCUCCCCCACCACCGCGACGCUCCAGCCCCAGCCGCCACGUGCCGCGGGGACCCCGAGGGGGAGCCGCUUAAACGGUCCCCAGGGCUCCAGAAGGCUUGAGUAGACGGAGGCGUGUAGUGCUGUCAACGGCUAAGUUAUGGUCUGAGGAUUUGAGGGGUGUCGAACUUUAUCGAACUCCACAUGCUUUGCCUACUGCAUCAGACUGGAUGUGGUACUCGUCGGGCACUGUGAGAAGAGCAGAAAUCCAAAGAAGGAUUUGAAAAAUCCCCAGGACUCUCUUGCUUAAAACACCCAUCUCCUAGACUUCACCUCAAGGGAUGUAGAAUUAGCCCAAGGUACCCCUUGUGACAACCCCUUUACUCCCAAGCUUUUAUUUGUUAACAAGACCCUGGGAGACUAACCACAGUGGAGAAACACUAGCUUCCAUGUUACUGUUCACUAUAUAGUGUCACUUGCUGAGUUUUGCUUUCAGUUCCAAAGUCAACCAUGGAGGAUUCUGAAAAACAGAAUGAGAUACUUUUGUGGACAGUAAUGUUCUUCCCUAGACCCAACACAGUGAAGUGUGAAACAAGACUGAUUUCUUCAGGGAGACUUCCAGCCUCUCUCCCUUCUGAUUUCGGUCCAUUUAAUACCAUGUGUCUUGUAAGCUCUACACUUAACAUGUUACAAUAGCUUGUCUCAGUAGGAUACAGUUUCACAAGAUGACAGGCCAACCUUGUCUUGUACAUAAUUAUUUCUCUACUUCAAGCAAGCCACCUGAAUUUUCUGUAUAAAUGGUUUUACCCAUAAAAUGAGAAACUUGCUUAUGUGAUUAUGAGGAAGCCUCUUAAGAAAAUCCACAUGGAAUUGUUUUUGAAGCACAGGAAUAGAAGCUAUUAGAAGUUGUAAUAACUAUUUUGAUAAAAGUAAUCAUAGCUACUACUAUUCUUUACCUCAAUAGAACCCAACUUUAAACCUCAGGGAAGAGCUGGACAAAUCUUACAAUUUGUUGUAGAACUUGUGAUGUUAUUUAAUAAUUAUAAAUGGAUAGAACAAAGGAUUUUAUUUUCAGAAACUGGCAUUAAAGACUGACCAAGUAAUAAGCAUUUGCGGUCACAUGUAUGUCUCUAAGCAUCUUUAACUUGACUUAGAAAAGAAUUAGUUUUAUCAGACCUUUCAAAAUGCCAAGUUUUAGAUAACAUAUAAAAGAUGGAAUCAAAUUAAGAGCAUGGAUAAUAGAAUAUACAGCCAACCAUAUACCUCUGCCUUCAACUGUUUUUCUCCAACUCCUAUUCUGCAUAUUAAACUUCAUUGUACUUGAAGAUGCUUAGUACUCUAAGAUUAUUCAGUAAGGUGAUAUAUUAAAUGCUCCAGUCUAUUUUAAAAAUUAGAUCCUGUUUCUGGGUGUGGUGGUGCAUGCUUUUAAUCCUAACAGUUGGGAGGCAGAGACAGAGGCAGGUGGAUUUCUGUGAGUUUGAGGCCAGCCUGGUCUAUAAUGGGAGUUCCAGGAUGCUACUGCUGUUACACAGAGAGACCCUUUCUCAAAAAACUACACACACACACACACACACACACACACACACAGAGAUCAGUGCAACAGUUAAAAUAAUCACUUGGUAAGAAUUAUAAUAUAAAAUUGUUUCUAAUCUUAGGAAGUUUAGACUUGUUAAAUUCUGUGUAGCAGUUUCAUGAGAAAGCAGAGGUUAGAAGUAACACAUAGAGUGUUGUCACAGAUUGCAAGCCUCCUGCUGAGUUUCGAUCUCUUCCGAAUCAUGCUUCUAUUUUCCCACAGUACUAUAAACUUUAAUUCAUAAAUUGGAACAGUAAUACCAUACACUGGAAGAGAAUAAUUUAAACCCUGAAUUAUUUACCAUUUUCAAAUUGUAUGAACCAUAGUGUAUCUACUAAACUCCUAAUUGUCAACAUCAUUCUCAACUUCCAUUUUGCGAUGGCCAUGUCAGUAUCCUUUCCCUGACUAACAGAAUUUGACCAAAAACUGUGGAAUUUAGUAGUAAGCAAUCAGAAAAGAAAUGGUUCCCUACUUAAUUGCAUGUUUGCCUGUUUUUAAGUUGUUAUAUGUUCUGUGUUACUUUAUUGGGCUUAAUGAAGAUAUUUUUUCAUGUAUAUCAUGUGUCUUAACCAUAUUCCCAUCUUGUGUUCCCUCAUUUCCCAUCCCCUUGUCCACUCAUGAUAAUCUCCUUCUGUGCCUCAGUCUUCCUUCUUUUUCAUCUCUCUCUCUCUCUCUCUCUCUCUCUCUCUCUCUCUCUCUCACACACACACACACACACACACACACCUAUAUACAGCUUAGUAAAUCUAUUAAGAACCUAGGAUUCACUAAUAAAACAUUGUAUUUAAGUCUGGCUUCUUUUACUUAUAUAAUUAUCUCUAGUUGUAUCAAGUUUCUACAAAAUGACACAAUUUCGUUCUUCUUUAUGACUAAAAUGACACAAUUUCAUUCCUCUUUAUGACCAAAUAAAGUUCCAUUGUGCAUGAAUACAUUUCUUUAUCCAAUCAUCUGCUGAAAGACAAGUAUAGCUUGACUAUUGUGGGUGUUGCUGCCAUUAAUAUGGAUGUGCAUGUCUCUGUGGUAUGUUGAAGGAAGUCCUCCAGAAAUAUGCCCAGAAGUGGUUUAUGAGUUGUAUGGUAGUUCUUAUUAUUGGCGUGAGGAAUCUCCAUACUGAUUUCCAUGGUGUCUGGACAGAUUAUAUUCCCACCAACAGUGUACAAGAACUACUUCCAUCUUUGUUACCUUUUGUCCUCUUUUGUUUAACUUUUGAUAGCCAUUCAGACUUAGGUGAGAGGAAAUCUCAUUGUAGUUUUAAUUUCUAUGUCCUUGCUGGCUUAGGAUAUUGAAUAUUUGUUUCUUUUGUUUGUGGUUCACUGGCCAUUGAUACUUCACAGUUUUUAAGGGUAGAGAGUUGGGGUUGAGAAAAAUAUCAACUUUACAUAUCCAAACUUUCUACGUAGACUAGGAUGACCUUGGACUCUGGAUUUUCUACCUAUACUUGUGUGCCUCAUGCCGGAUUUUGAACUUCAUCUUUUAAAAAUUGUUGGUUUUCAAUAACCUAUUUAUUAGCUGGCUUGUUUGGAUUUUUGACAUUUCAUUAAAUAUCAGAUUACAUAUUC